GAACCUUGUCUGAGAAUUUGGAAGCUGAGUCUGAGGCUAUGGAUAAGCAAUCCAGUCCAAAAGAGAAUGAUGCUCGUUCCACUCAGAAUCAGAGUGUGAAGCAGAAUCUCACUGUAACUCCAAAAACAUUUGUUGGUUCAGAGAUAGUUGAUGGAAAGACGGUUAAUGUGGUUGAUGGGCUCAAAUUAUAUGAGCAAUUGCUUGAUGAUGUGGAAGUUUCGAAGCUUGUUUCGCUGGUUAAUGAUUUGAGAGCUUCAGGGAGAAGAGG
rnacentral:misc_RNA from 1 species